rnacentral:rRNA from 1 species
GGAGACCUACGGGAGGCAGCAGUAGGGAAUUUUCGUCAAUGGGCGCAAGCCUGAACGAGCAAUGCCGCGUGAACGAGGAAGGUCUUCGGAUCGUAAAGUUCUGUUGAAGGGGAAAAAGAGCGGAGAGAGGAAAUGAACUCCGAUUGAUAUUACCCUUCGAGGAAAUCACGGCUAACUACGUGCCAGCAGCCGCGGUAAUACGUAGGUGGCGAGCGUUAUCCGGAAUGAUUGGGCGUAAAGGGUGCGUAGGCGGCCUGCUAAGUCUGGAGUGGAAGCCCGGGGCCCAACCCCGGGACUGCUUUGGA